CCAGCAGGCCACUGUCUAAGACUGGGAGGUGCACCUGUUGAAUGAUAAUGGAGGUGUCCCAAAGCAAGCUCAGGGUGGGCAGAAACCUCCUAGGAAGCAGAAGGGCUCGCUUGAUCUUGAUCUUCAGUAUGAAUACAAACAGUGAAAGUGGGGCCUUGGAUCCUCCUGACCUUUUUGGUUUUAAGCAAGAGAUGUCAGAAAAGGUACCACAGGGAUAACUGGCCCAUGACGGCCAAACAUUCAUAGUGAAGUUGCUCUUUGAUCCUUCCAUGUUGGUUCUUACCAUCAUCGUGAAGCGGAAUUCACCAAGCAUUGGCUAGUUCACGCACUAAUAGGGAGCGGGAAUUGGGAUUAGACCUGUUGUGGUGAGACAGGUUAGUU
rnacentral:ncRNA from 1 species